rnacentral:rRNA from 1 species
CCUACGGGAGGCAGCAGUGAGGAAUAUUGGUCAAUGGCCGAAAGCCUGACCCAGCCAUGCCGCGUGAAGGUCAGUGCCCUUUGGGCGGUAAACUUCUUUUGUGCGGGAGCAAUGAUGGUCACGUGUGGCCAGACGAGAUUACCGUACGAUUAAGCAUCGGCUAACGCCGGGGCAGCAGCCGCGGUAAUACUGGGGAUGCGAGCAUUAUCCGGAUUUAUCUGGUUUAAAGGGGGCGUAAGCUGGGAGGUAAGUCAACGGGAAAAUGCCCCGGCUCAACGGGGGGAAGUGCCAUUGAUACUGGCAAGCUGGAGUGCGUAUGCGGUGAGUGGAAUGUGUGGUGUAGCGGUGAAAUGCAUAGAUAUCA